rnacentral:rRNA from 1 species
UACGUAGGUGGCAAGCGUUGUCCGGAUUUACUGGGCGUAAAGAGCGCGCAGGCGGUCGUCCAAGUCGCGUGUGAAAGCCCCCGGCUCAACUGGGGAGGGUCACGCGAUACUGGUCGACUCGAAGGCAGGAGAGGGUAGUGGAAUUCCCGGUGUAGUGGUGAAAUGCGUAGAUAUCGGGAGGGACACCAGUGGCGAAGGCGACUACCUGGCCUGUUCUUGACGCUGAGGCGCGAAAGCUAGGGGAGCAAACGGG